rnacentral:lncRNA from 1 species
GGAGGGGUUGGGGGAUUCCGCCAUCCCUUGUUUUGAGGCGGGAACGCAACCCUCGACCGCCCACUGCGCUCCCACCCACACCCAGAGUAAUAAGCUGUGAUUGCAGGCUGGGUCCUCACCGUCUGCUCGCCAGUCUUCUCCUUUGAGGACUCAGAAGCCAAGGGUUGCGGGAGGCACCACCCAUCCAGCAAGUCAGGCAAGGAGAGGAGGUGUUGGAAGAGGUCCGCAUCCGUUUUCUGACUUCAGGUCUUGGAAUCUAUGUAGUCAGUUCUAUUGCUGGACUCAUCCAAAGGAAAAAGCCUGUUUGGAGUUGACCUGACAUGGAAAUGCAAAAGGAGGCCUCAGGGGUUCCAGCUCACCCUUGACUCCAAACUGAGGUGUGUGAGGCAGGGAGUGGGGAGAGGGAGAAAGAGAUAGAGUGGUGAAGGGUGUUCCGCUGCUACCCUGCCCACUGUCAUUUGGGCUGCAGAGGAACCUCGUUCUUCUCCCCUUUUCUUCCUCUCUCCUUUUCUUUCUUUUCUUUUCUUUUCUUUCUUUCUUUCUUUCUUUCUUUCUUUCUUUCUUUCUUUCUUUCUUUCUUUCUCUUUCUUUCUUUCCUUUCUUUCUUUCUUUCUUCCUUCCUUUCUUUUUCUUUCUUUCUCUUUCUUUUCUUUCUUCUGCAGCAAUUAGUUACCAACUGUCCUCAGUUUGCCAGAUUCUGUGUCAGAUUCAGAAGUCACACACAGAAAGAAAACCAGGCCCCUGAUCCCGCACCCUGGCAAUCCAGAGAGGGGACCCCCAGGGAAAUAACUGAGGCUUAAACAGGUGCUGUGAAGCACAAAAAAGCGAGACUUUACAGGAACCGGGCAUUGAAGGAGCAACACCAGUUCCCAAGGGGAGAAGGUGGCACAACACUCCAGGGAGAGGGAAGAGCAGGGGCAGAGGACUGACUCUGCAGAGCAGGGAGUCGGCCCUGCAUGGCUGGAAUCCAGCCUCUCUGGGCCACAAGGAUUAACUUCAUCUCAGCAUUUCCUCCAAUGACACACACAAUUAUAGAAAGUGAGGGCUGGAAAGGACCUUAACAUUCAUCCAAUUCCGCCUCACCUCAGAAGGGAGAACUGAGUCCCAGAGAGAUGGAGUGUCCUUGCAAAUCCCACAGAGUCCAGCACUGAACCGUCCCCCUCUCCAGAGGCACAAAACAGCACCUCUCUCAAAUGCAGCCAUCUCUGGAGGCACGGGAGCAGAGGAAGCUGUGGGCUCCCCACCUCACCCCACCAUGACUCUUCCCAGCUCCUGCCCCUGGAUCUUGCUGAUCUGGACUGGCCUCCAUUUGCCUGCAGGCUCUAUAGGUUCAGGGAUGGGUCAGACUAGCCAGAGCACCUGGAUUGGUGUCCCGCCUUGGUCACCUACCUGUUGUGUGGGCUUGCCUAAAUUGCUUGAUCUCGCGAAGUCUCAGUUUCUCCAUUUUUAAGUGGGGACUAAAAAUAACGAUCUCUGAGCUUUACUGAGAAAAAUAGAUGAGGACAUGUUAGACAAUGGUAAUAUGGGCCAUCUCUGGCUGCUCUGGGGUGGGGAGGGGAGCCCUGUUCAUCAGGAGGCAGAAGCAGGAAGAAGAUGAGCUCCAUAAGGUGCACCCACCCAAGGACACUGUAGCUCUGCGCUGCCUUUUUUACCCCAAUCUUACAUGGCUGAGUGGAUUUCAUGCUGGCUGUGAGUGAGACGGAUGGAUCUUUUAGUUUUCAAUUAGCAAACGCCUCACUCUUUAAACAAGCGGCACAGCAAACAGAUGCACUGUGUGAUUGAUGACAGGGAACAUCUGCGGCCAAGCAGCGGCUGCACCAGAGGCUCCCAGCUUCCUGGGCUAGCAGGGCCCUCUGGAGGUCGUUUGGUGCCUCCCCCUGCCUCUAGGCAGGAGUGUGCCCAGUCCAAGUGGGCGGGGUGGGGGCAGGGUGUCCCUUUGCCUUAUAGCUUUCCUGAAAAAGGAUCUACAACAGCCUCUUUGAAUUCUUUACCUCCUUGGAGUCAGGAAGUUCCACCUGAUGUACCUCCUAAAUCUUUCAUUUAUUUCUACCCUUUUCAUUGUUGAAAGUUGUAAGGAAAUAAGUAGUAGUGGGUAUUAGGGGUUGUCUUAGUCCAUCUGGGAUGCUAUUAAUAUAACAAAAUACUGUAAACUGUGUGGUUUACAAACAGAAUUUAUUUCUCACAGUUCUGGAGGCUGGGAAGUCCAAUAUUAAGGUGCUGGCAGAGUUGGCGUCUGGUGAGAGCCAGCUUUCUGUUUCAUAGAUGGUACUUUCUCACUGUGUUCACACAUGGUGGAAGGGGUGGAUGAGUGCUCUUGGGCCUCUUUUACAAGGGGACUCAUCCAUCCUAUUUAUGAGGGCUGUGUCUUCUUCUGUCCUCAUGACCUCCUCACUGCCCAAAGGCCUCACUUUCCCUUUGUUUUGUUUUGUGUUUUGUUUUGUUUUGUUUUGUUUUUACAGAGUUUUGCUCUUGUUGCCUAGGCUAGAGUGCAGUGGUGCUAUCUUGGCUCACCGCAACCUCCGCCUCCCGGGUUCAAGUGAUUCUUCUGCCUCAGCCUCCCGAGUAGCUGGGAUUACAAGUAUGCGCCACCAUACCCAGCUAAUUUUGUAUUUUCAGUAGAGAUGGGGUUUCUCCAUUUUGCUCAGGCUGGUCUCGAACUCCUGACCUCAGGUGAUCCGCCUGCCUUGGCCUCUCAAAGUGCUGGGAUUACAGGCUCACUUUCUAAUUUUAUAAUCCUGGGGCUUAGGAUUUCAACAUAUGAAUUGGGGGGAGCAAAGACAUUCAGGCAGGGCUAGGAAAUGAGUUAGGGACAGAUGGGGGUUUUGUUGGCCCAUUGUAAGAGAAACAAAGGAGAAAGCCAACAGAGAAUAAGGGAGAGCUAGAACUUCCUCCCGAGCUCCAAGAACUGCUCGCUGCAGCUUAGAAAGAGGGGGGACCCUUGCUGAUCUCCUUCAAACUCUGAUGUACCCCCAGAGAGAACAGACUGUCACAGUCCCCUUCUAAAAAUCAUCUCACAGAAAACAAGGGAAAUGCUCUCAUCUGAAAGGUGGGGAAGGCAGAGCGGGGUCAUGUCAGUAGCAACACUGGAGUCACACAGAAGUUUGUUCCCAUCUAAACUCCACAACCUUGGGAAAUUCUGAAUGGCUCCGGGGCUCAGUUUUCUGGAUUGUGAAAUGGGGAUGGAGAGCCACAUUGCAGUGCUAUCAUGAAGAAUAAGUGGGAACGACAGCCCACACAUAUUGAUAUUCCAUGGGUCUUCCCCCCUUACAGAAAACUUCAACUGGAGAAGUGACGCAGGAAAUAUAGACAUCUUCUAUAUGGUGUUACAGUUCUCCAUUUCUUAACCCACUUUGUAGAUAAAAACUGAGCCCCCAUUUCCAAGCUCUUGGAAUUUCUCUUUUCUCAUCCUCUUCUUUUGUCUUAGUUCUUGUGCCAUUUGCAAAUGACUUGGGGAGCAGUAGAACAUCAAUCUAUCUGGGUCAAAGGAAGUAUGGGGCAAAAAAAAAUCAUCUCUUUUGUACUUUAUUACAUCCCUCAAAUGCAGAAAACCUUAGAGAGGUGUGGAAUUCUUGGAUAUUGUUGUUAUUGAGGGAUCUACAGCCCCAUGUAGGAUAAUCUAGGGAAGGGACUGAAGGUAGUCGAGAUGGUAGACCCCAGAGAAGGGUGGGCAAGGGGAGAAUCUUCUGAGAAGGACAGAAGUUCAGGGCACUGUCCAACCAAGGCAGGAGAGCAGAGAGUUACCUGAGGGUUUUGACAUCUGCGUGUGUAAUCACCCUUAGAAAAUGAUUUCCUCACUGGUAGACUCUAAUGGGCCUUUCCACCUGGGUGUGAAAUGGACAUUUGUUCUUUGCUGCCUCCUAUUUUGAAAGAGUAAAGAGAAUACAGGGAUGACUCACUUUAAGAAAUUCUGUUACACAGUUCUUCAGAGUUACAGAACAGAUAACUCAGAGUGCAAUUAUUCAUAUUAGAAAUUUAAUUGCUUGAUGGGAAGAGGUCAUAAAAAUAUACACCUCAUUUCCACACCUAUGUUCAUAGCAGCACUAUGCACA